CUUCAUUUAUUUAUUGUGUUGCUAUCGCUGUUGUUUGUCGUCUGCUAUCUGAUCAAUUUUUGUUUUUUGUCGUUGUCCGCAAUUUCUGAGUGCGUUGUACGUGCUACAUAGAGACAGCUAGCUCGCAGCGAGUACCUAGCUGAGAUGCACACCGAUAUAUUAUAUAUGUAGAUAUAUAUCAAUUCUAUUGCUUCUCUUGUCCCAUUUUUAGAGAGAAUGUGGGUAUUCGAAAAAUAACUUAUGCGCCGUAUUUUCGUCUAGAUAUAUGUAUGAGUUUUCAUUACCUGUCUCGUUUACGUUCACGCCUAAAGAACGUCAUCUUCUCGACAGAUGAUAUAAUCAAUUGAUCCGGCGCUCGAUAUUACAUAGCUUAUUUCAGCUCUGAAUCAAUUUUGUUUAUGGGUAUCUGUCAUCGUAUCUCAUACGAGUGACUGAUCUUGUAUUUAUUUUGGCCCGUUAUUCGACUCCUGUUGUCUCAUAUUCCAGUUUGCUCUAUGACGCCCCCUAUGCUCAUGCCCAAUAACAACGUCGGGCAAGUAUUUGCAAUUGAAUAAUGGGAGCAUUGUACAGUAGAUGGUAACACUGCAUCCAAAAGUCACCAAACUUUUGUCAGACUUACCGUUUUUGUCAUACGUCUUGUAAACACUAUGAGCGAGCUUGCUUAUUUCAAUCUUCGACUUUUACCAAAUAGAUUCUUUGGUUAUACAGCGUCUAUCCACGAUUCUCCUCUUAGAAGAAGUCUGUUCUCUUGGGUGAGUAACGUUAUUUAAUAAUAAAUAACCUGUUUAUUUUGUAUCGAACGCCAAGCACACCAAUACCAUGACUAAUUCGAUACCUGUGAGAAUUUUUAAUGCAAGCCGUUACAAGCUUAUGAAGGAAUAUCCUGUGUAACUAGAACCGCAGUAAUUACGUUUUCGCUCUGCGCGCUUUACUUGUACUAUAUUGAAAAUAAUCUUUAUCACGCGUACAAUUCCACCGUAAAAGUUCUUGUUAUAGCAAAAAAUACCUUAUUGACGUUUUUUCAUAGCAUGGUCCGAUUUUUAAACUGCGUGCCAUACGCCAGUUUAUUACAAGUCACAUGUAAUAUUGGAGAUGGAUUUAAAUAUGAGGGGUGAGUUUUUGAAAGCGGAGAUAUUUAUUGCCACAUGUACCGGCCUUCUCUCUCUCUCUCUCUCUCUAUCUAUCUAUCUCUAUCUCUCUCUCUCUCUCUCUCACUUCUUCAAAGUCUUGAUUUGUUAUGAAUGUCUAAUCUUCAGCGAAGUGCGUACAAGCAAUCUAGUAGUAAGUCGUCAUUCUAUGUUUGUCAGAAUAGGUGUUUGAAACGCUCCUUUUGUUUAUUACAGUUACAUGUAGUAAUCGCGAAUGCAACAGUGUAAUUACAUGUAGUUAGAAAGCAAAGAUAGUGGAGGGAAUCCAGGCAAGGCAGCGCCAAGGAAAGCUAAGCUGUGCUUGUGUCCACAAAUAUUCAGGUGUCUUGUGCUUAAUCGUAACGUAACAAAACCGAAAAGGUAAAAAUCCAUGAAGUAAUUAAGUACUUUGACUGCUAGCUUAAAUCCUUGUUUGAACUUCUCAUUCCCUAGAUGCCCUUUGUAAUUGUGUUCCGCAGCAGAGUGACGGGGCUGCUUCGAUAUAAGAUUAUUUUCAAUAAGCAGAAAAUGUUCAAGGCAUAACAUAGGGAUAUUCAUUUAAGGACAAUGUGUGUCGGUUUAGUUCGUCUGUGUAACUGCUAGGUGGCGCGUAAUAUGUAACACGGUAUAUGAACGAUUUUUAGAAACGAUAUAUGUACCUGUAUUCCCGUUGUUAUUAGUGAAUAUUACUCUCACUGUUCUGAUCGGCAGAUUGACAGCCCCUUACCCGUAUCCCUCCCAAUGUACGUUUGCCAUCUUUGGACCAUUUUUAAUGCAAAUGAUUUCUCUCAUGCUAUUGGAGGAUAUACACGUAUUUAUUUUUCACUGUAUAUAAACAUUAUAGGCGGCUAGCAUAUCUCCGUUUCGCCAAGGUGCCGUCAAUCGUCGUCUCAACGUCUAGUGCGAUCUUUUUUUUGUGACUGCACGACAGCCUGGGCUAGUUACUGAUCGUAAUUAUAAUAAUAACACAUGUAUAGGCUAUAUCUUUGUAUCUGUUAUUAUUAUUAUAACGCUUUUAAAUUAUUGAAAAUAUUUUCCAAUCACUUCUGGAGUAACCAUUACACAUGUUUAAAUUUGUAUUCAGAAAACCUCUGUUACAAUGAUACCUAUUAGCACAUCGCGUAAUUGAAUUAUACGCUUCGUAUGCUGAUAUUGUAAUAAUUAAAUGAUUUUGAAGAUUUAUUACGAGUUCAAAUUUUCGCGCGGCUAAAUGCGAUAAGUGUAUACGCGGCGCCUCUUUGGUGUUCACCGAUGACAAAACGAUGUUUUCCUUAAUUGUUGACCCUACGGAGGCGAUCGAACAGGAACACUCAAAAUUUGUUUGCAUCUGUCCUUUUUGCUUGGCUAGACAUGGGCAGAGAUUAACGAAUUUUCCUAUAUUUGGCUAUUAUCCAAUGCUUUUCUCCAAUACCGGAUUCAUAUACUGGGUUUUCGCACAGACGGCAGUCCCACCUUCAGUCUUUUUUCUAGCUUUUAUACCUAGUCGCGUUUUUGUCUUGUUGUUAUUCGCUCUUCUGUCUAAUGUCCUGUUUGUCCUGGAUAGGUGUGAUGCAUCACUGUGCAGUACUGCUUCGAGGCAAAGAACAACAGUUGUAUGUAUUUCUCGUAGUUGUUGUUGUUGUUGUUGUUGUUGUUGUUGUUGUUGUAAUAAUCGUCAUCAUCUUUAUUGUAAGCGUCAUGUCACUAAUUAUUUUUAGUUAGUAUCAACGAUCUAUACACGAUAUAUCACGGGGACAUAGUAGUCCCCUGCGGUACGCCGAGGUUGUGAGGCUGUCUCGGCGUCCAUCUCUGUUUUCUUAACACUCGUCCCGGGCUAUACACGCCAAAGUAAUGCAAUCAGUCAUACAAUCGACUUGUCCAAAGACCCAUUCAAUUACGAACGGCGAAAAUAACAAAUAGUGUCUAAUUUUUACUUACGGAUCACCAUACUCGACAUCCGCUGCAGCGAGCUUGCUUCGAAGCGACAGUUCAUUCUCGUGCCAACCUCACAUGUGACGAUAUCGUUGCUUGCCGUAAAAAGGUCGACUGACUUGAGACGUGGCAGUUAGCCUCGGGCUCGAUGCUUAUUGCUUUUUAUUCGACACAAGUUUUUAAACAGCGAUACCAUAUCUUCGAACGAUACAAUUUUACCUUGACGCCAAUACUUAUACACAUAUAUAUACACGUGUGUGUGCCACGUGAUGUCUUGCGUCUCGUGCGAAAUGCAACGUAAGUACCGCAUUAUCAUGUAAUAGUUAGAGCUACUCUUUUUGGUGCGUUUAUAAUUUCAAAAUCUAUUAUUUAAGUAGAACCGAAUAUUUUUUUGAUAACCACAACCAUCUGUACGGUUGUCUAUUUAUUUUUAUAACCGUAUUCUUUGCUGCUAACAGUUGUUUAAUUGAAUUUCGAUUUCAGCCUAUUUUGCCUGUCCCGACUUGCCAGCUGCUCCGAACUAGCCGGUUUUAGCCCGGUUUGAAAAACGGAAGUGUUGUCCAAGACGCAAUCCUUCACCACUCAAAAUGAGUCGUAAGCGCCCUUCAGUUGAAUAACAGAUAAAAAGAUAGGCAUGCCAUUAGUUUGUUUGGCCGGCUUCGCCCUUGGCUCUUUGGUAGCUUUCUGAAUUAGUAGCAAAUAGUUAGCUUGAAGUGUGGUGUUUCCUUUUUGAUGGUCACAAGGUUGGACAGCAACGGAGACGACGUAGGCCCGUCUCGAGAGAUGAAUACAUAUAGACAGAGAUAUAUAUGUAUAUAUAUAGAUAUGUAUGUAUAUAUAUGUGUGUGUGUAUGUCUGUAGAUAAAUGAGUUGUUUGAUAUUGAUGCUGGUAUUCAUGGAGUUGUCGUGAAUGUAUUUGUUAUGGGUAGAAAGUGGUCGUCACGUUUGUUCUUCUUUCUCUUCCACUUUCCAAUGUAUUGAUGUUCGCCCCAGAAAGCCCCGCAAAGCUAGAGGGGGGCUUACCGGGAAGCAUGGCUGAACUGCGGUAUCACCAAAGUAGCAGAUAUUAAGUUGGCGGUUAUAGUAGUUAUUAUAAUGGUUAGAGGCCUUCGGGAUUCUGGAAAGGAGCUAAGCUCGCUCGUCGCAAGUUGCCUGACCGUGAUCACGGUUCAGUCCCGAAUAUGCGGGAUGGAGCAAUGCGAUGCGCGCUCAGAGCCUUGCUUAGGGAUGGGUAUGGCAGCCAGAUAGGUUCAUGCUUUGAGAUCAGAAUUAUAGUUAGGUAGCACGUAGAAUAUAUAAUAACGACAUAAUAAUAAUAAUACUAGUAAUAAUCAUCGCGUAGACGCAUUGAUACGUAUGAGGACUAACAGUGAUAAUAAGAGUAAUACUAUAAUAAUAAUCUCUAUAUCAUUAUUAUUGAUAUUAUUACUGUUAUUUUUAUAAUGUGAACAUUAUCGUUUAUUCAAUAAUAUCAUAUAUGCAGCAUAAUUUCGUCUAAAUUGUUGUGGUCGCCGCUCCAGAUCAUUUGUCAAGAAGUGAUUUUUAUCAAGUGGCGUAUCCAAUAUUGAGCGUGCGUAUGUGUGUGUGUGUGUGUCAUUUUAUAUCCAGUCUCUAAUGGUAGAUUCUAAGUUAAUUAUCUAGUUACCUUUUUCAGCACUGCCAUCCGUCAUUAUAAUUAUCGUUUUAUAGGAUAAUAGUCACUAUUAUUAUUAAUAAUAUUUUUUAUUGUCACUUACUUUUAAUUAUUGUGUGGUGCAGUGGAUAUUGAAGAGCCUUGGUGCAGAGUUAUGUACGACACGUAUAUAUAUAUAUAUAUAUAAAUAUAUAUUGUGUGUGUGUGUGUGUGUGUGUGUGUGUGUGGGUGGUUGCCUUACUUCUUUGUAAUAAAUGUCUCAAUUGAUUUGGCUAAUUGCUCGAUCAAGUGCUAAGUAGUCGCAGUGGAAUUAUGGUAGGGACACUUUUUUACAUGUUUUUCGUAUGACCACGACGGUCAUGGGCAUUCGUCGGUUGUUUAGGGUUUUCAGGGAGAGACAGUGUUGCGUUUUGCUUUGCCACGACUGAUCCACCCUCCGCAGCUUUUGAUAGCUAAGCGUGACAACAUGAUUGAAUCUAAUACCAGUUAUAAUCUAUGAGGCCAUUUGCGUCUAUGGCAUAUGGAAGUUCAACACGUAGGUUGACGCUUGCAUGUCAUCGCCUAGGCCACGUAGUUAACGACUGCGUAACAAAAAUCCAGUGAACUCUUCACACAAAAACUAUAUCCACAAAUAUACAAGUAGAUGUAUAAAGGAAAAAGAAGACAGUCGUGAGCGGCACCGAAUUUCGACAGGGUCCCGUCGUCCGCGUAACUAACGUAUCGCAUAUGUAUUUAAAUGCGAAGCGUAUAUUUAAUAGCAUUCAGACCGGACUGACUGAAACCCGCAAACGAAUCUGCUAUCGAUGAAAACUGUGGAGGGAUCGUAUAGCAUCGCGAUCGCUGUGGCACUUGUGGUCACGGACGUGCCGCGCAGAGAAUGUCUUUCGGAUGGCUGACGUGCCAGUAAUUUUAAACGACGAAAACAAUUAGGCGUGCCCCAUGAAGGUGCAUUUAAACGCUGUGUUUAUCAAUCAAUAUAUUUUAACUCCAGUUAUUGAGCUCGUCAACAUUGUAUAAUGGUGGCUAGACAUGUCCUGAUGAUGUUGUUGCUGUUGUAAUGGUAAUUAAAAGCAAAAUUGGUUUUUGCUUCACUGUUUGGAAAAAACCAUUUCCAGGCCAAAAGACUGAGCAUGUUCGGCAGAUGGUGCCCAGGUCGCUCGUACCGCGAGGCCGACUAAGGCUUGGUACGAUGGUCGGGGUAGACGGCUCCGAGGUCCAAACACGAACUGAGCUUGCCAGGUUGACCGGCCGUAGGUCUAGACGGCUGCUCCAGAUCAGUGAAGUGAAAAACAUGCUAGACUUUUCCGUGCGUAACAGAAACAAGCGCUAUUGAUUUUUUGCUAUAGUUUUAGCACUCGCUCAGUAGUUAUGGAUCCUUAUCAUUACUUAGCCCCAUAUUCUGUCAGCAACCAUUAUCUUCGUCGGCGAUUUUGGCAAAUACAAAUGCUUCUGCUUCCACGAAUACAUGCACUACUUCUAAUAAGUAGGUGCGGUACACAUGAUGGUCAGUCAAUGCGUAUUAAGACAUGGCUGGUACAGAAAAAAAAUGCUCCUGAACGUGGCUGAUCGAUUCUCUUAGCUGGCGUCUGCUAUUGAUUUUCGCAUCGUUAGUUCCGAUAGAUCAUCAAAGACGCUGGCUCUCUACAAAGGAACCGCGGUUUACAGAAAAGGGUUCGAGGCCAUUCCAAGAGAUGUAAUAAUAUCGAAGCCUAGACACGCGCCUCUUUAAUUACGUGUCGAGCGCACGUCGUUUGCACUGUGUUUUUCGUAGGUUUUUCUUUCGCAUUAUUACUACCAGUAGUGCAAUCGUAAGGAGCUUAUUGUAUGUUGAUCUGAAAUUGAACAUGACGCUUCAUUUAACUCUACCCCGGCUAUGCAAAGUAAGCAAAGGCAAUGGAUAGUGGUUCAGUUGAUGUAUAGAUUACUAUUCGGUGAUAUUUUACGGUUGGUGAGAUUAUUGCUGCAUCGGGAAGGAUUGAAAAAUCCUCGUUUCAUUCUCUGAGGAAAAGCAUUAUAUGAUGUACUUGAUGAUUCUAGAAUCAGUUUUGUAUUGCAUUACGUACAACGCAGAUUUACGUAAAAUAAUGCAGUUAGCUAAGUUACCACUAGCUAUCAUUGUUGUUAUGACCGAAGAAACUACGGCUCGUGCAAGUAGCCUUGAAUGUGUAUUGAUCUCUGUCAUUAGAAAAUUAUACACAUCGGAGAAUACACUUCAGGAAUGAAGUUUCCACCGAAUACGAUAGAAAUGUUGAAGUUAUUAGUAUGCUGAACGGUGGCUGCGAUGGUUAAGCAGAGGUCGCAGUCUUCGGUUUUGGCACAGCAGCUCUAAGAGGUAUCGCCUUUAAAAAGAUGGUAAAGACCUUGCAAGGGAUCAACCAGGUACCGAUGCGGAUCGUGCACUCGAUAGAGUUCGGGUGACACCUCCAUCGAAAGUUUGUGUUCGCGAUGCCCGCGGGCGCGUUGGUAUGUUACACAGCUUCCGACGAUAUUCUGGAAUCCCGCACUCAAGUCGCUUGAACUUGGCAAGUGCAAGAAGUUACUUGACUUUAUUGACGGUUGACUGAGUCACGAGUAAAUCUAUCCUAUAAAGCCUUGAUUUGCUGCUACUGGUGCAGAGCACGGGGUGAGGCUUGUGCGCCUGUUCGUAUGUUUGCUUGUGUGUGUGUGUGUCUGUAGUCUUCAAGGGUUUCAGUAUUUCACUCUUUUCAUCGCCUAUUUGAACGUUAACACAUCUUCGGCGGUAGCGAGUAACAGCACCUCUUACGAUGCUACUCACGCUUGCGGCAAAUCGACCUAAGCAUCUGAGCGAAAAGAAGCCAAGGACGACCAGAACGAAAAAUCUCGCACACGCAGGAAAUUACACACGCGGGCACUAUUACAGUAUCUCAAACUGGUUGACUCUCUCGCAUUUUUCCUGCUGUUGCCGCUGGUGAAUCUCUCAACCGACGUGUAUGAUUUUUGCUCGAACAAAUACAUUUUUGUGCGAUGCCUUCCGGUGAGGCUAUCGGGCUCAACUGAAGCAUAUUGUUCUUUGUUCGCAGGAAUCAACAAAGCUACUGCCCAUUUGACUACGUUCGUCGAAGCUCUUUAUACUAAGCUGUCACAAUAACAAAACGACGUCUGGAAUUCUCUCAUUAUUGAUAAUGGACCACCGCAACCGCUGCUGCUAUCUCUUUCCGGUUAAACAAGAAAAACAGACGGAUCUGCUGGAGAGUCGCUGAGCUAGGCCGAGCCGUCAUGCGCUACGCUUGGAGGAAACGAUACGAUUUUUCUGCCAGGACUAUAGGGGCAAUUAGGUUUGAUCGAAUGUUCUGUUGUGAGAAAACUUGCUGGUGAGAGAGGCACCAGGCGACGGUACGUCAGCCAUACGCCGCCCUGCAAGGCUUAAGACGACAUGAUGUCACCCGCAGAGCAGUCAGAUCAACGGACACAUUAUCAGUAGGUUUCUUCACACCUGCCUACUGAGGUCGCUUUGGUGAAGUGUAGUAGGGAAAUCGCCAAGACCACGUAUAAUUCGUUUUCUGCCUUCCUGAAGUGAAUCUUACUAUUACUAUGGAUCAUAGCAGUGGUGGAAGUGGCGUUUAU
rnacentral:lncRNA from 11 species